UGGAGAGUUUGAUCCUGGCUCAGAUUGAACGCUGGCGGCAGGCCUAACACAUGCAAGUCGAACGGUAACAGGGAGCAGCUUGCUGCUCUGCUGACGAGUGGCGGACGGGUGAGUAAUGUCUGGGAAACUGCCUGAUGGAGGGGGAUAACUACUGGAAACGGUAGCUAAUACCGCAUAACGUCUACGGACCAAAGUGGGGGACCUUCGGGCCUCAUGCCAUCAGAUGUGCCCAGAUGGGAUUAGCUAGUAGGUGGGGUAACGGCUCACCUAGGCGACGAUCCCUAGCUGGUCUGAGAGGAUGACCAGCCACACUGGAACUGAGACACGGUCCAGACUCCUACGGGAGGCAGCAGUGGGGAAUAUUGCACAAUGGGCGCAAGCCUGAUGCAGCCAUGCCGCGUGUAUGAAGAAGGCCUUCGGGUUGUAAAGUACUUUCAGCGGGGAGGAAGGCGUUGUGGUUAAUAACCACAGCGAUUGACGUUACCCGCAGAAGAAGCACCGGCUAACUCCGUGCCAGCAGCCGCGGUA
rnacentral:rRNA from 1 species